ACUGAAUAGAUACCCCGGGUAGUCCACGCUGUAAACGAUGAUUACUCGAUGUUGGCGAUACACAGUCAGCGUCUGAGCGAAAGCAAUAAGUAAUCCACCUGGGGAGUACGAUCGCAAGAUUGAAACUCAAAGGAAUUGACGGGGCCGGCACAAGCGGAGGAGCAUGUGGUUUAAUUACGACGAUACGCGAGGAACCGUUACCUGGGCGUCGAACGUAAGAUGACUGUAGGUGAAAGACUUACAUCUCUUCGGAGCAUUUUACGAGGUGCUGCAUGGUUGCCGUCAGCUCGUGCCGUGAGGUGUCGGGUUAAGUCCCAUAACGAGCGCAACCCCUACCUUUACGUUGCCAACAGGUCAUGCUGGGGACGUCUAAAGGAACUG
rnacentral:rRNA from 1 species